GUAGGUGGCAAGCGUUAUCCGGAUUUACUGGGUGUAAAGGGCGUGUAGGCGGGAUCGCAAGUCAGAUGUGAAAACUGGAGGCUCAACCUCCAGCCUGCAUUUGAAACUGUGGUUCUUGAGUACUGGAGAGGCAGACGGAAUUCCUAGUGUAGCGGUGAAAUGCGUAGAUAUUAGGAGGAACACCAGUGGCGAAGGCGGUCUGCUGGACAGCAACUGACGCUGAGGCGCGAAAGCGUGGGGAGCAAACAGGAUUAGAUACCCUGGUAGUCCACGCUGUAAACGAUGGAUACUAGGUGUGGGGGGUCUGACCCCCUCCGUGCCGCAGCCAACGCAUUAAGUAUCCCGCCUGGGGAGU
rnacentral:rRNA from 1 species